UCUAAGUAUUUGGCUUGUACUAAGUACUCAGUAAAUGCUAGCUACUAUUACCAAGGGUCAAGCAAUCAACUCAAGCAGAAGCAGUCCUCUUGGUUGUCCUGGGCACAGCAAAAUCAGUUUAUUAACUCUACCCUCCCUAAUCUCCUUGUCUGUAGGCUCUCCAUCUGGUGGGAGGAAGACAAUCCAGCUUCUCUAGUGUUUCUCAAAGAAGUCAUAUAUUUCUCCUGUUAAGGUGAUCAAGCUGCAUCACGGCUCUCUUUGAAUUAUUUAUGUUGGAACUGUGAAGGGUAAAAAAAAAAAAAAAAAAAAAAUCAGUAAAGCAAGAAACUAUUACCAAGGGGAAACCAAUAAAAUGCCUGCAUGUAUGUGAGAAAAAGAAUGUCCAUGUUUGGGAAUACCAUGAAAUUUAUGAUCUUCAAGAAAAUUCAGACAGGCCCUGAAAGUUUCUAAAAGGUCCACAGAUGGAGAAGAGUUUUCCUCCAGGAUGGUUCAUACCCAGAAUUUCACUUGUACCUGAUUCAGAUGAUUUAAUGAUGAGAUUUGGGACUUUCGAGCUGAUGACAUUUAAAUGAGAUUUUGAACUAGAGGUGAUGUUGUAAUGGGCUGAGAAUUAGGGGGAUAUUAAGGGUGAGGUGAGUGUGUUUUGUAUGUGGAACAGAUGUGAAUUUGCCAGGGGCUAGAGAGCAGAUUGUAGUGAGUUGAGUAGAGGCCUCCCCCUCAAAAAGAUAUAUCCAUGUCUUAACCCCAGGAGCCUUUUUUUGAUAAGGUGUCCUUAUUUAGAUAAAGGGUUCUUAUAGAUGUAAUAAAAUUCAGGAUUUCUAGGUGAGAUCAUCCUGGAUUUAAAGUAGGGCUUUAAAACAAUGACAAGCGUCCUUAUAAGUGAAAAGCAGAGAAAGAUCUGAGAGACACAGAGAAGGCAGUAUAAAGAUGGAGGCCAAUAAUGGAGGGACGAAUCUACAAGCCAAGAAAUGUCAAGGACUGUGGCAAUCAUCAGAAGCUAGGUAGAGGCAUGGAGCAGAUUCUCCCACAGAACCUCCAGUAAGCACCAAGUUUACGGACACCUUGAUUUCAGACUUUUGUCCUACAAAACUGAGAGAAUUGAUUUCUGUUGUUUUAAGCCACCUAGUUUGUGGCAACUUGUCACUGGUGUCAUGGGAAAUGAAUACAGAUUUCAUAUCCAGAAGAGGGAAGCUGCUGUAACUAAUGCCUUAAAAUGUGGGAGUGGCUUUGGAAUUAGUUAUUGGGAAGAGGCUUGGAAGAAUUUUGAAGUGCAUGAUAAUAAAGGCCUAGAUCCCUUCGAAGAGAGUGUUGGUAGAAAUAGAAACAUGAAAGGAGACUCUAGUGAGAGCUCAGAAGGGUGUGAAGUAGAUGAUGUGACUCAUGGAUUCAAUCUAAUCUCAGCAGAAGGCAAGAGUAGAGAUAGUUAUCCAGGAAGGAUCGGUGAGGAACCCUCUUAUCUAAUGGUGGAGACCCCAUGCCAGCACAAAAUCAAAAGGAAUAGAGACAGGAUAAAAUGAAUGAGUACUAUCAUAUCUUCUGGGGGCCAUUAUUCAACCCACUACACUGCAUCUUUUUCCUUCUCUAUUUUCUUUUAGAUUCUCUAUUAGAUGGGUAUUAUAUCUUCUGGAUAUAUCUUCCCUAUCUUAGAAGUUUACUCAUAUUUUUCAUCAUUUUAUU